rnacentral:rRNA from 1 species
UACGUAAGGUCCGAGCGUUGUCCGGAUUAAUUGGGCGUAAAGGGUACGUAGGCGGAUAAGCAAGUUAGAAGUGAAAUCCUAUGGCUCAACUAUAGUAAGCUUUUAAAACUGCUCAUCUUGAGGUAUGGAGAGGAAAGUGGAAUUCCUAGUGUAGCGGUGAAAUGCGUAGAUAUUAGGAGGAAUACCGGUGGCGAAGGCGACUUUCUGGCCUUAAACUGACGCUGAGGUGCGAAAGCGUGGGUAGCAAACAGG